GGAAUCUGCCUGGUAGUGGGGGACAACGUUUCGAACGGAACGCUAAUACCGCAUACGUCCUACGGGAGAAAGCAGGGGACCUUCGGGCCUUGCGCUAUCAGAUGAGCCUAGGUCGGAUUAGCUAGUUGGUGGGGUAAAGGCCUACCAAGGCGACGAUCCGUAACUGGUCUGAGAGGAUGAUCAGUCACACUGGAACUGAGACACGGUCCAGACUCCUACGGGAGGCAGCAGUGGGGAAUAUUGGACAAUGGGCGAAAGCCUGAUCCAGCCAUGCCGCGUGUGUGAAGAAGGUCUUCGGAUUGUAAAGCACUUUAAGUUGGGAGGAAGGGCAGUAAGUUAAUACCUUGCUGUUUUGACGUUACCAACAGAAUAAGCACCGGCUAACUUCGUGCCAGCAGCCGCGGUAAUACGAAGGGUGCAAGCGUUAAUCGGAAUUACUGGGCGUAAAGCGCGCGUAGGUGGUUUGGUAAGAUGGAUGUGAAAUCCCCGGGCUCAACCUGGGAACUGCAUCCAUAACUGCCUGACUAGAGUACGGUAGAGGGUGGUGGAAUUUCCUGUGUAGCGGUGAAAUGCGUAGAUAUAGGAAGGAACACCAGUGGCGAAGGCGACCACCUGGACUGAUACUGACACU
rnacentral:rRNA from 1 species